AUCAUACUUCCUCCGUCCCAAAAUAAGUGACUCAAAACUGAUUCAAUUUUGCACUAAAAUAGUGUAAAGUUGAGUCAUUUUUGAGUCACUUAUUUUGGGGCGGAGGGAGUAUGAU
rnacentral:pre_miRNA from 1 species